rnacentral:rRNA from 1 species
UACCCGCAGCACAAGUGGUGGUCAUUAUUAUUGGGCCUAAAGCGUCCGUAGCUGGCGUGUUAGAUGCCUGGGUAAAUCGAUGCGCUCAACGCAUCGAAUUCCGGGUAGACCGGCACGCUCGAGACCGGGAGAGGUGUAGGGUACUCGGGGGGUAGGGGUAAAAUCCUGUAAUCCUCCGGGGACGACCAGUGGCGAAGGCGCUACACUAGAACGGCUCUGACAGUGAGGGACGAAGCCCUGGGGCGCAAACCGG